AUCGGAGUCACCCAGGGAUCUUGUUAAAAAUGCAAUUUCGGAUUCAGUAGGUCUGGGGAGGGCCUGCGAUUUUGCAUUCCUAACAAGUUCUCAGGAGGUGCCAAG
rnacentral:miRNA from 1 species